UACAGAGGUCCCAAGCGUUGUCCGGAUUUACUGGGCGUAAAGAGCGUGUAGGCGGCCACGCAGGUCCGUUGUGAAAACUGGAGGCUCAACCUUCAGACGUCGACGGAAACCGUGUGGCUAGAGUCCGGAAGAGGAGAGUGGAAUUCCUGGUGUAGCGGUGAAAUGCGCAGAUAUCAGGAAGAACACCAAUGGCGAAGGCAGCUCUCUGGGACGGUACUGACGCUGAGACGCGAAAGCGUGGGGAGCAAACAGG
rnacentral:rRNA from 1 species